rnacentral:lncRNA from 1 species
AUAAAUUCACGAGUAUACCAUAUUGUUGCUCUUACUUUCAAUAUCUUAUAUUUCUAGAUAAUAAGGGUGAGCAUUCGGUUUUUGGUUCAAUUUUUUUAUUAAUAUAAUCAAAUUAAAUCAAAUUUAUAUUCGAUUUUUUUUAAAUCGAAUAAAAUUAACCGAAUAAACCUAAUGGAAUUAACAUAAAUUUUUAAAAUUAAGACUGAACCAAACCUAUAAACCAAAAUAAACCGA